rnacentral:misc_RNA from 1 species
GCGAAAUGCGAUAAGUAGUGUGAAUUGUAGAAUUCAGUGAAUCAUCGAAUCUUUGAACGCACAUUGCGCCCCUUGGUAUUCCAUGGGGCAUGUCUGUUCGAGCGUCAUUUGUACCCUCAAGCUCUGCUUGGUGUUGGGUGUUUGUCCCCGUCUCCGCGCGUGGACUCGCCCCAAAGUGAUUGGCAGCCGGCGUACUGGUCCCGGAGCGCAGCACAUGUCGCGCAAACGAGUGCCUUGGUACGGCGGCGUCCAUAAGCCCCUCUCUCACGCUCUUGACCUCGGAUCAGGUAGGGAUACCCGCUGAACUUAAGC